UGAAUAGAAUCACUCAUAGUUUAAAUGAAAGAGGCCCAAACAGCAGAAUCACGGGCUCAAUAUAUUAGCGCUAUUUUGAAUUUUCCCGGAAAUUAAUUUGUUGCAAUAUGCAACUCCAGCCGCCGAAGCGGUGAAUACGCUGCUUCCCCACCCGCCGCGCGACGCGAAGCAGUCGAUAUGAUACUUUAAUUUAAUUGCAGCAGAGCUUUUUUUAUGUCUAUCUGAAGUCAUAGCGGAACCUCUUGAUGGAAACAACUUGAAGCACUGAAGCAGACUUCAGACAGAAAGCGACCCCAUCUUAAAAUUGUUGCAAAUACACGUAAGUAUUGAUCCAUUUCUGUCUGCUUACAGAUAUGCAAAUAUUGAUAGGCAGAAUAAUUGUGUAUCCCAACGGUUAUAUACAUUAAUAUGAUUUUGCCUACAUCAGUUCACCUA